GGGCUCCUUCGGGAGCACCGGCGGACUGCUCAGUAACACGUGGACAACCUACCCUCGGGUGGGGGAUAACCUCGGGAGACUGAGGCUAAUACCCCAUAGGCCUCGGAUACUGGAAGGUUCCGAGACCGAAAGCUCCGGCGCCCGAGGAUGGGUCUGCGGCCUAUCAGGUAGUUGGUGGUGUAAAGGACCACCAAGCCUACGACGGGUACGGGCCCUGAGAGGGGGAGCCCGGAGAUGGACUCUGAGACACGAGUCCAGGCCCUACGGGGCGCAGCAGGCGCGAAACCUUCGCAAUGCGCGAAAGCGCGACGAGGGGAGCCCGAGUGCCCUUCCUUUCGGGAGGGCUUUUCUGGAGCCUAAAAAGCUCCAGGAAUAAGGGCUGGGCAAGACGGGUGCCAGCCGCCGCGGUAAUACCCGCAGCUCGAGUGGU
rnacentral:rRNA from 1 species